rnacentral:sRNA from 1 species
CUGCCAGAAAAAAAACCAAAUAGAGGCAAAAAGUACUUUUAUGGGUCGGUCUCUCAACGCCAGCAAGCGGAAUAUUUCAAAAAGCCCAAUGAGCUUGCAACAAUACCAAUUCCAAUCGUACAUAAUUUGUACCACAAAAUGGUUUAUGGAACCAUCGACAGACGGGCCAACGGAGCGAUCGGUCCAUCCCCCCGCGUACUCAGGGUCCACGGCGGUCGGGACUUGCGAGACAUGUUCUAGGCCUCUUCUUCAAGAUGCUCUCUGCCUGAGUAACUUCUGAGGAUAACAAUGCCCAGCGACUUUAUCGACUUGAAUUAUCGGUAAAACGGAAUUAUUACAGAAUAACGUCUCUGUUCAUAAAAAUACGAAUCAAAGCAAAAUUCAAAAGAAAAACUGAAACAAGCAAUCCAUGCCCCACAAAACCCCAAAUGUCAAGUUCGAUGUCGUGUGAGAAUACUGGAAAAAUAUCAGUAUAGUUCGGAUUGUCGGAAGUUAAACACAUAAAAAUAAAAUUCUAAAUUUCUAAAUUUUGAAAAAUAUCUAUUUCGGUUUUUUUUUUUCAAUUAGGUUUAAGCAUAAAAGUGAUUUGUUUUUUUUAGUUUUUAAAGUUAAGCAUAAAGUGAAUAAGGUCACUAACCAUACAGUAUACUGUAUGGUUAGUGAUAAGGUACAACAUAAUAAUACUUCUCCAAGAUACACAAGGCAUAAAAAUACUUCUCCAAGAUACACAUCUAUUGAUUGUUCAACAAGAGUCGCACGCGGAGAGUUCACAUCAUACAUACCUGGCAGAAAAAAAAAAAUACAAAUCGUACGGCUGUAAACUGUGGCGGGCAAAUGAGGUACAACACGGCUUCUUCGGAUAGUUUUUCUACACACCCUACAUAAAUACGGGCAAUCUGAGGGAUCUGAGGGCUCCGAGAAGACUCGCAAGUAGAACCACUACUUUGUUCUGACACUUAUUCGGCAAUCGGAAAAUAUAGACUGUGUUCAUCGGGUACAAGAUCUGAUGUGUGACUGGAUAAAAAUAUCAUAUUUUGUUACUAAUAAUUAUAUUACUCGUGAUUAUAUUUUGAUACUAAAGUA